GAGGGGCUUGGUUUCUCUUGGCAUUUGCAUCUGUAUCAGCAAGGAUUUGCCACGACGGCAAAUCCAAGUUCCAUGCGCCAUGGAUGGCGCAUUGGAACUGGUUGCGUACUGUCUAAGGAUCCUCACGCAAAUGCUUAGAGAAGCCCAGCCCCGAA
rnacentral:ncRNA from 1 species